CUUCUCUGUCUGCCUGAGAAGGAAGAGUUGCUCUCGCCCUACAGCAAUUUCUUCCAACAGUGCUUGGUCUGGUGCAAAGGUUUGUAAUACCCUACUUGACUUCUGAGGUGCCCUGGGACAAACUCUGGACGUCACGAAGAGUGACAGACUGCUUUUACUGGCUGACUUCAUAUAGUCAAGUUGACACAAGAUAAAAUCUUCAGAGAGGAAUGCAUCUGAGUUGAACAAAUGCUUCCAUGAGA